rnacentral:lncRNA from 10 species
CUCCUUCUGCCUUGUGAGAUUAGAGUGAGAAGUCUAUGAGGAAGCAGCCCUCACCAGACACUGAAUCUGCUGGUGCCUUGAUCAGAGACUUCCCAGCCACUAAAACUGGACAGUCUUCAUUGAUGACCUUACUAUUUACCACAGAAGUUCAUCUAUGUGGCUCCAAACUCUAUUUCAAGAAUAUGAAAGGCAUGUAGGUUAUGCCUACGUUCUCGGACCCUUGAUAGAUGUUUUGCUGACCCACCUUCUGAUAUCUGUAGAGUUACCCUAGGCUCCACCUUCCACCAACCAGUUCUGUGUCAAAGUGCAAAAUGAAAAUCACAGAAAAAGUCAACCUGACCUGAAGCUUAUUCAUCACCGUGCAAUGAGUUUCACCAUACAGUUAUGGCCACACCGUGCCCUUGUCAGAUGGAGGUAAGGCCUUCUGCAUCAUCUACUCCGUCAUUGGCAUUCCCUUCACCCUCCUGUUCCUG